CCAGACUCCUACGGGAGGCAGCAGUGAGGAAUAUUGGUCAAUGGUCGGGAGACUGAACCAGCCAAGCCGCGUGAGGGAUGAAGGUACAGAGUAUCGUAAACCUCUUUUGUCAGGGAACAAAGGCGGGGACGUGUCCCCGGAUGAGUGUACCUGAAGAAAAAGCAUCGGCUAACUCCGUGCCAGCAGCCGCGGUAAUACGGAGGAUGCGAGCGUUAUCCGGAUUUAUUGGGUUUAAAGGGUGCGCAGGCGGAGGUGCAAGUCAGCGGUCAAAUUGCGGGGCUCAACCCCGUACUGCCGUUGAAACUGGCAGUCUCGAGUUGGAGAGAAGUAUGCGGAAUGCGCGGUGUAGCGGUGAAAUGCAUAGAUAUCGCGCAGAACUCCGAUUGCGAAGGCAGCAUGCCGGCUCCACACUGACGCUGAGGCACGAAAGCGUGGGUAUCGAACAGGAUUAGAUACCCGAGUA
rnacentral:rRNA from 1 species